GGAGGGGUGCGUGAGUGGUUGAAACGACCGGUUUCGAAAACCGGCAUGCCGAAAGGUAUCGGGAGUUCGAAUCUCCCCCCCUCCG
rnacentral:tRNA from 1 species